UAAUGCUAAAAUGCAAAUUCACUUCUGCGUUUUGGCCUACAGAGUGACGUCGUAACUUCGGUUGUUUCACCUUCUUUGAUCAUGAUUGGUUAAUCUGACUGUCAUCUAUGUAACUGGCCAAUGACAACUGUGCGCGCCUUUUUACUGGUCAAGUUUGAAAAAUCAAAUACAUUUGAGUUGAUGACGACGGCUGCUUAGCAAGAUUACUCGGUCUUUCAAUUAUUAUUUUGAACUAAUUUGCGAUGUGACAUGUAAACGAAGGAGAACAGAAGAUGUGAACACACAGAAGACGCUCAGACUGGAUGCGUGAGAUCCUGCAAUAUUGGCGAUCAGCACUGGAAGAAGAUUUUUGGGGGGAGAGCAGGCACCCAACAGAGCGACAAAUCCACCACGGCAUGAUUAUCAACUUCAUUAUUGACAAAGAAAGGAGAACAUGUCACCAUUAUGAGCCCUUUAUUUAGUUCACGGAAGAACAUCAAGGGAAAGACCCUCAGACGUGUCAUAACAGGAUAAAUGUGGCUACAGGACGCAUCACCCCACCCCAUCCCAGAUUGACCAAGGAUCCAGAUGAGUACUGGCAAUUUGGUGGAGGAUUGCUCA